CUGUAACGCCUUACACAGCCGUGCUCUCCGACUGCCUUGCGUGUGCGAGUGUGUGCGCGUGGAUACACGUUUUAUUUUGUGUGUGCACUCUGCCAGAAUUUCAUGAAAAUAUACCUUUUUAAAAAAAUCAAAAAAAAAAUCAAGGGCUCGAUGGCAAUUAACAGUUUUAAGAAAACUAUGGAAAAAACAAUACUUAACAUGAAAUGUAUCGUGAUGGUCAUAUUUUCUUAUAUUCUGUGAGACUGGGGGGAGGUGUAUACUGUAUAUUGGGAACUGGGGAGGGUUCUUUUUUUUUUUUUUUUGUCUUUAAACUAUGUUUCCUGGUUGCCAUGGAGAAUGUUUUCGAAAGAAAUUGUGAUAUUUGAUGAGAUUCCUUUUUUGUUUUCUUCCCCCAAAUGCCUCUGUUUAAAAGGGACAGCCUGCAAUGUCCCGGUGCGUUAAACUGACAGAGAUGUGACGAGAAUGAGACACUGACAGAGAGAGGAGAGGGAUCAGGAAGUUGUACAGUGCCAAGUUAUGUAAAUAUACACACUUUACAUUGAGGAGUGUCUCCAAAAGCAAUAUCUUGAAAAUGGAUUUUGUUUAUUAUUGUACUGUACAGGACUCAGCCCUAAAUGUAUUAUGAUUAUUAUAAUAAUAAUAUUAUAAUUUCUUCCGUUUGUAUGACUAUACUGAAGACACUUAAGCUCGGAGGAAAAAGAUUUUUGUUUUUGUAUUGUUUUUUCUUUUUAAUGUCCAAGAAAUCUCACCACCAACUGUCCUGACGACAUUAAAAAAGUAAGCUGAAGUUUCGUUGCCUAUAAAUGAAAUUCACCUAUGUACUGCAUGAGCGAGAAGAAUGUCAAACGGACACAGAAGGCAUUGGGACAUGACAGUGACUUGCCAGCGACCUCUUUGCCGCUGAACAUUGUUAAUAUUACUUUUGAAGGAGAACUGCGCUCCUUGUUUUUUGCUGCAAAGUGUUGAACACUAAAAAAACAAACCAACAUAAAAAUGUUAAGAUAUUUUUAAACGGUGACAGAAAGAAAAAGUUUUAAAAAAUAAAUUUAAAAAAAGCUGUCGGCCCAAUAUUAUGUUAUUUUGGGUUUUUUUGCUUUGUUUUUUUCUUUCAAAUAGGAAAAUGGUUCCGUUUUGUGAUAGCAGUCAUUGUAUGAUGCUUACUGGCGGACAUUUUGUGAUGUGUACAGUUUGUCAAAAAAAAAAGAAAAAAAACUUCUUCCACUCGUUUAAAGUUUGUAAUUAUGAUUCUUAAGUCAUGAAAAAUGCUGUUGGUUUUUACUUUUUGUUUUAUAUUUGUUUUUGUUUUUUUUGUUUGUUUUUUUAAUAAAAGCACUACAUUAUUGUGAAUAUACUUCAUGGUGGUCUCCUUUGAAAACCCCUCAUAUACUUCACAAACACACGUUUACAAAAAGAAUUAUAAAU
ensembl:lncRNA